UUGAAUGCAGUAUAAUUUUAUUUCCAAGAUAAAAUUAGUCUCAAGUAAUUACAGAUUGGGCAACACUUGUUCACAAGUUAAGAGAGACUUGAAAGACCGUUAAAGUUUAACCCACGUCAAAGUAAAUACUCCUUUCGGUGAUUUGUAACACAAGAUUCCCUAAAACGAAUAUUUUUUGGUUUAAAGAAAAAGAAUCAAUUUAUUUCUCUUCUAAAAAAUUAACCAUUCGUUUCUGAUAUAUUUUCCAUUUUUUGAAAAUUUGAUUUAAACCGACCGGUUCUUCAUAACCGCCGGUUUUCUCUCUCUGCAAGGCACAUUAUCGUCUGCAGUUGUUUCUUCUUCGUUUAAAUCACCGGUCGUGUUUCCAAUGUAAGUUCUCUGUUUCAUCAGUGAGUGGGGUUACCUCUAAAACAUAUGUUUUGGUUCUGUUUUGAGAUUUAAUUGAUGUUCCUUUUUCUCUGUGCCUUGGAACCUCGUUGUCCCAGCCAGAAGCUUUGAUGGGAUGAGCAUUGACCGUGAGGCUAUCUGAAAUUGAGUCUGUAGAAAAGAAUCUCAAUGCUUUUUCAAAGUUUCCUCAGCCUUUCACUAAGACUGCCUUAACAUUUAGCUCGCUUUUGAGGUCUGCAUUGGUUUAGGAUUGAAAAGUAGAGAAUGUUUCUCUUUAGGACUGUUCGUUUGGUUGCCGCAGGUACCGGCGGCAGCGGCAGCGUCAACAUUCUGCGUCAACUCUUGUUCGUUUCGUUGACGCAGGAAACUGCGUCUGACGCCGCGUCCUGCGGCUGACGCCGCGUCCUGCGGCUGACGCCGAUAAAAUCUGCGGUCGCGAUAUAGUAUGCGGCAGCGGCAGCGGCAGCGUCUGCAUCUGCGAAACGAACAACAACUGUUCUCAUUGACGCUGCCGCCGCCGCUGACGCCGAAACCUGCGGCAACCAAACGAACAGGAAUUUUGUGACAAAAAAAAAGAGAGAGAGAAUGGUUUUCUCAUGUUAAAAUGGCGUGUUAAAAAAAAGGAGUGGUGGAAUGGCUGUAAGAAGAUUGUAGUCAAGUCUGUACGAUGUGGAAACGGUUUGCUUGUGAUGAGCUUGAGGUGCUCAACACCAACUCUUCUUCCUUGCUACCUUGUUUGAUGGUUACUUCAUGUUCAUACAGUGAUGAAUCUGAUGAUGAGAUUGACUGUGAACCUGAGUCUUUUCUGAUGAGUAACGUGGGUUUGGCUGAGACUGCCCUAUAUGAAGUGAGGCACAAGUUUUGUUGUUGUUGAUAAACUGAUUGAGAUAUUGGAUCUGUUUGUUGAUGAUAACAGGAAGAUAUCAGGAAUCAAGUAUCAGAUGUCGGAGCGGAAAUAAUGAAAGAGAUGGAAUCGUCUCUCGCUCAAAGAAACUAGGAAAGAAGUGGAACCUAAACGUGAUCUACGAAAAGUGUAAGCUAUGCUACAUUGAAUGCUCAAGCUGGUGGGUAGCUAUCUUCUUCUAAACACCUAUUGCCUAGGUAAAUCAAUCCAAGCUGCAGAAAGUGCUUUGACAUUGGAGAAGCACAGGUUGAAGAAGCUGGAAGAGUUAGAAGCAGUGAACCAGUCUCUAAAAUCAUGUUCAAAUGAGGACUUUAGCAUCUUUGAAAAAACAAAUUGCAAGGGCCAUAAAGCAAAUAAGGGCAACAAAGGAUAAUGUAAGAUAGUCUCCACUCAAGACCCUUUUGCAGGCAGCUACGUCAUCCUUUAUGUCACCUCGCAGCAAUGGAUAUUGUUCUUGCUGAUUUUUACAAAGCUUGCAUUUACACUGUCCCAAAGCAUAUUAUUAGCUCACAUGUUGGGACUCAGACGCAUAUCACCGCCUAGCUUCUACGGUGAGACGCUACGGUGCACUUGUCCAGACCGAUAUUUGCGGUGGCAAUGCUCAUAACAUUCAUGGGAUUGAACAUGGAUGGGCUUGGUUUGCCCGGUUCCUUAACAAAAUCUCAGCCUACAGAUGCUACUACAACAGCCUUAAACGCAUUUCUCCAGACGGCAGGGUUUGGUCUAUUCAUCAGAGGUACAAAUCUCAGUUCUUAAAAGCUGCGAACGUUGUCAGAGAGCAUUUCUUGCCAAAGUUGAGGGCGAAAAAGGACGCAGCGAAUCUACAGACGAUCAUAACCGAUAUAACAGCGUACUUGGAUUACCAGAUGUAUGUAUCUCAAGGAACCUAUAGGAAGAACUAGAUCAGCAGAAUCAACAUCACCAUGGGAAUUAUUGCAGAGGUUAUCAUUGAAUUUAUGUAUCAUGCGUUAAAUAAAACUUAUCAAUUUUCUUUAGGCUGUUGUAACAUAUAAUGUUACACCAAUUAUUUGAAAAAUCAGUCACAAGAAGCUGAAUCAAGGAAACAUUAUUGUUUAAUUA